GAUUUCAACUGAAAAAGUCAUCAACAACAAAGUUGUAUAACUCAUCAAUAUCUAUAACUUUUAUUGUGGUCAUUUCUUCAUCCGAGAAAGUGAUAGAAACAUUGUUUACAAAAUUUACAUCUCUUAUAUGGUUUAUAAAACUAUAAGAGAGAUAUGUAAAUUUUGUGAAUAAUAUUAAAAUCAUUUUGUCGGAUGAACAAAUGAUCAAAAUAAAAAUUGUAGAUCUAGAUGAAUUAUACAACUUUGUUGUUGAUGACUUUUUCAGUUGAAGUC
rnacentral:pre_miRNA from 1 species